rnacentral:snoRNA from 1 species
AUCCUUUUAUAGUUCAUAAGCAUGAUGAUUGGGUUUUCACAGGCAUGUAUGAGAUGUGCCUCCCUCAAACCUUGUUAUGAUGUUGGCACAUUACCCAUCUGACA